rnacentral:rRNA from 1 species
CAGUAGCCGCGGGAAUACGGAGGGUGCAAGCGUUAAUCGGAAUUACUGGGCGUAAAGCGCACGCAGGCGGUCUGACAAGUCAGAUGUGAAAUCCCCGGGCUUAACCUGGGAACUGCAUUUGAAACUGUCAGGCUGGAGUCUUGUAGAGGGGGGUGGAAUUCCAGGUGUAGCGGUGAAAUGCGUAGAGAUCUGGAGGAAUACCGGUGGCGAAGGCGGCCCCCUGGACAAAGACUGACGCUCAGGUGCGAAAGCGUGGGGAGCAAACAGGAUUAGAUACCCGAGUAGUCCCUGUCUCUUAUAA